rnacentral:rRNA from 1 species
UGAUCAUGGCUCAGAACGUACGCUGGCGGCACGCCUAACACAUGCAAGUCGAACGAAGUAGCAAUACUUAGUGGCAGACGGGUGAGUAACAUGUAGGUAUCUGCCCUUUGGCCUGGAAUAACACGAGGAAACUUGUGCUAAUACCGGAUAAGUCUUUACGGAGAAAGCUUUAUGCACCAUUGGAUGAGCCUGCACUUGAUUAGUUUGUUGGUGGGGUAAUGGCCUACCAAGACUGUGAUCAAUAGCUGAUUUGAGAGGAUGAUCAGCCACAUUGGGACUGAGACACGGCCCAAACUCCUACGGGAGGCAGCAGUGGGGAAUCUUGCACAAUGGAGGAAACUCUGAUGCAGCGAUGCCGCGUGAGUGAAGAAGGCCUUUGGGUUGUAAAGCUCUUUCGUCGGGGAAGAAAAUGACUGUACCCGAAUAAGAAGGUCCGGCUAACUUCGUGCCAGCAGCCGCGGUAAUACGAAGGGACCUAGCGUAGUUCGGAAUUACUGGGCUUAAAGAGUUCGUAGGUGGUUGAAAAAGUUGGUGGUGAAAUCCCAGAGCUUAACUCUGGAACUGCCAUCAAAACUUUUCAGCUAGAGUAUGAUAGAGGAAAGCAGAAUUUCUAGUGUAGAGGUGAAAUUCGUAGAUAUUAGAAAGAAUACCAAUUGCGAAGGCAGCUUUCUGGAUCAUUACUGACACUGAGGAACGAAAGCAUGGGUAGCGAAGAGGAUUAGAUACCCUCGUAGUCCAUGCCGUAAACGAUGUGUGUUAGACGUUGGAAAUUAAUUUUCAGUGUCGCAGCGAAAGCGAUAAACACACCGCCUGGGGAGUACGACCGCAAGGUUAAAACUCAAAUGAAUUGACGGGGACCCGCACAAGUAGUGGAGCAUGUGGUUUAAUUCGAAGAUACGCGCAGAACCUUACCAACACUUGACAUGUUCGUCGCGACUUUGAGAGAUCAAAGUUUUCGGUUCGGCCGGACGAAACACAGGUGCUGCAUGGCUGUCGUCAGCUCGUGUCGUGAGAUGUUGGGUUAAGUCCCGCAACGAGCGCAACCCUCACUUUUAGUUGCCAUCAUUUAGUUGGGCACUCUGAAAGAACUGCCAGUGAUAAGCUGGAGGAAGGUGGGGAUGACGUCAAGUCCUCAUGGCCCUUACGUGUUGGGCUACACACGUGCUACAAUGGUAUCUACAACAGGAAGCAAGACUGCGAAGUUAAGCAAAUCCUUAAAAGAUACCUCAGUUCGGAUUGCACUCUGCAACUCGAGUGCAUGAAGCUGGAAUUACUAGUAAUCGUGGAUCAGCGUGCCACGGUGAAUGCGUUCCCGGGUCUUGUACACACCGCCCGUCACACCAUGGGAGUUGGUUCUACCUUAAGGCAAGGUUUCAAACCCUUGACCACGGUAUAGUCAGCGACUGGGGUGAAGUCGUAACAAGGUAACCGUA